GAAAUGACUAGUAAAGCAUGAGGGUUACUGAUGUGAAACUUUAAAAUCACAGAAAAACUAAUAAAUAUACUGCUUCUGAAAUGCUCAGAACUAAAGUAGAGGAUUAGUUAAACAAUCUCUAAAAAACUAAAGAAAAAGAGGAAUGAGAGAAAAGAGCUUUGCUCCUAACACUGAAAAAGAAUAAAGUAGGUGGCAGAAUUAUUUAUUUAGAAAAAGGAAGGAAUUUAGUCCACCCAACAACUUCUCACUUAGAUGGAGACAUUUUUUUUAUUGUGUUCUAAUAAGCACAGUAUUGCUUUCCAAUUACAGCAAAUCAGUAUGUAAAGUUCCUACUUCAGUAAUUUUUCUUUUCUACGCCUAUCAAGGUUCAUAUUCAAAUGAAAAAUGAAAGCAGAUCUUUUUUUCUCCAACUGCCCUGUUUAACAGAAGAAAGAGACAGAGUUUUCCCAGUGGAGUUUUAUUACUUGCACUAGUAAAAGGAAGAGGCAACUGGAUGUGUGGAAGUGGUGGGUGAGUGUGAAUGCAUUUGUGUGGCCAAUCUGAAUAAGCAACAUGAUGGUCUCACAUCCAUGGUCUUGGUCUUCUUUGGAGAUGAGCUAGGGGAUACUGAGAUAUUGUCCUAGCAGAAAAGAAAAAAACUAGAAAACUAGUUUUCCCAAGAGUUGGAGGAUGUAGUGCUGAAAACCAGAGUAUUUCUGUGGCCAAGCCACUGAAGUAUGUUUACUUUUAAGGAUUCAAUUUGUCCCAUUUAUUUCACUUCUAGCACAUGCUGAAAGAACACAGUCUCAGUGGGAACCUUGCAAAUUGACAGAUUUCAGAAGAAAAAUAUCUGCUGUGUUAAGAAGAUUAGAAAAGCUGAAAUGUGCAGUGGUGAAGACUGGUGUUAAUGGGUCCUGAAGAUGGAUAUCAUUGUGCCAUUUACCACAGAAGUUGCAUGUGAAUUGUGUUUGGUUUUAGGAAAAUAUAUUUUAUUUUCUUACUAAAGAGUUGCACAGUUAAAAAUUUUAUAUUAUUAGUACUACAAUGAGGUGUAAUAAGCAAGUAUGUAUUACUAUUAGGGACUUGCAGCUUUAAGGAGUUUAUUACUAG
rnacentral:lncRNA from 1 species